ACGAACGCUGGCGGCGUGCUUCACACAUGCAAGUCGAACGGAAAGGCCCUGCUUUUGUGGGGUGCUCGAGUGGCGAACGGGUGAGUAACACGUGAGUAACCUGCCCUUGACUUUGGGAUAACUUCAGGAAACUGGGGCUAAUACCGGAUAGGAGCUCCUGCUGCAUGGUGGGGGUUGGAAAGUUUCGGCGGUUGGGGAUGGACUCGCGGCUUAUCAGCUUGUUGGUGGGGUAGUGGCUUACCAAGGCUUUGACGGGUAGCCGGCCUGAGAGGGUGACCGGCCACAUUGGGACUGGGAUACGGCCCAGACUCCUACGGGAGGCAGCAGUGGGGAAUAUUGCACGAUGGGCGGAAGCCUGAUGCAGCAACGCCGCGUGCGGGAUGACGGCCUUCGGGUUGUAAACCGCUUUCGCCGGUGACGAAGCGUGAGUGACGGUAAUGGGUAAAGAAGCACCGGCUAACUACGU
rnacentral:rRNA from 1 species